rnacentral:lncRNA from 1 species
GUUCUCUUCCCCAAGAACUCCAUCGUUCGUCACAGCACAUUCACUGUCCUCUCCAGCAUGUUUUUGCUUCUUUAACUCAACAUGUUUUUGCUUCUUUAGCUCAGCCAGUUUUUGCUUCUUUAACUCAGCCUCUUUUCUCUUAGCCUCGGCUUCUUGAUUCUUUAACUCAGCCAGUUUUUGUUUCUUUAACGCAGCCUCUUUUCUCUUAGCGUCAGCCUUCUCCUUCCUCUUCAACGCAGCCUCUGCCUGCACUGCUUUUUUCUUAUCAGUGGCAUCCUCAUCCUUUACAGUACGCCUGCCCCUGCAGCCGCGUCCAUAGGCUAGAACCUUAGCAUCCUUAUCAUCCUUAGUAGCCUUUGAAGGAGAAAAAUAUACGAAAUCAAGAUCAGUAGCUUUAGCGACACUACCAAACUCCUCAGCCAAAGUCUUUUCCACCCUGUAUCCUUACCAAACUCCUCAGCCAAAGUCCUUUUCACCCCUGUAUCCUUAUCAAACUCCUCAGCCAAAGUCCUUUUCACCCCUGU